CGUAACAAGGUCUCCGUAGGUGAACCUGCGGAGGGAUCGUUACACAAAUAUGAAGGCGGGCUGGAACCUCUCGGGGUUACAGCCUUGCUGAAUUAUUCACCCUUGUCUUUUGCGUACUUCUUGUUUCCUUGGUGGGUUCGCCCACCACUAGGACAAACAUAAACCUUUUGUAAUUGCAAUCAGCGUCAGUAACAAAUUAAUAAUUACAACUUUCAACAACGGAUCUCUUGGUUCUGGCAUCGAUGAAGAACGCAGCGAAAUGCGAUAAGUAGUGUGAAUUGCAGAAUUCAGUGAAUCAUCGAAUCUUUGAACGCACAUUGCGCCCUUUGGUAUUCCAAAGGGCAUGCCUGUUCGAGCGUCAUUUGUACCCUCAAGCUUUGCUUGGUGUUGGGCGUCUUGUCUCUAGCUUUGCUGGAGACUCGCCUUAAAGUAAUUGGCAGCCGGCCUACUGGUUUCGGAGCGCAGCACAAGUCGCACUCUCUAUCAGCAAAGGUCUAGCAUCCAUUAAGCCUUUUUUUUCAGCUUUUGACCUCGGAUCAGGUAGGGAUACCCGCUGAACUUAAGCAUAUCA
rnacentral:rRNA from 1 species